GAUGAACGCUGGCGGCGUGCUUAACACAUGCAAGUCGAACGGAAAGGCCCAAGCUUGCUUGGGUACUCGAGUGGCGAACGGGUAAGUAACACGUGGGUGAUCUGCCCUGCACUUCGGGAUAAGCCUGGGGAACUGGGUCUAAUACCGGAUAGGACGAUGGUUUGGAUGCCAUUGUGGAAAGUUUUUUCGGUGUGGGAUGAGCUCGCGGCCUAUCAGCUUGUUGGUGGGGUAAUGGCCUACCAAGGCGUCGACGGGUAGCCGGCCUGAGAGGGUGUACGGCCACAUUGGGACUGAGAUACGGCCCAGACUCCUACGGGAGGCAGCAGUGGGGAAUAUUGCACAAUGGGCGCAAGCCUGAUGCAGCGACGCCGCGUGGGGGAUGACGGCCUUCGGGUUGUAAACUCCUUUCGCUAGGGACGAAGCGUUUUUGUGACGGUACCUGGAGAAGAAGCACCGGCUAACUACGUG
rnacentral:rRNA from 1 species